rnacentral:lncRNA from 1 species
GAAAAUAGUUUUAUAUUUCUAACAGAUAAUUCCAAUAGGUGCUGGCAAUUAACAUGAACUAUGCUCAUUAGCACACCUUAACUCCUCCCUCUUAAACAUCACCAGGAAAUCUACUGUGUUCAAUGUCCUCCAACAUUUUAUUGAUCAUGCACCUCAAGCUGUCUUCCACAUGGACUUGAACAGAGAUGCAUAAGCCAAACAACAGGUGACUUUAUUGGGUCAAGUAAUAAUAUGAAAUCCAACAUGAAUUUUCUGUGUGGGAGACAGAAAAACCAAGCAAGAAAAUGAGGUAUAGUGGAGGAGAAACAGAAAAAGAAGGAAGAAGCACAAAGAAAGCAUGAAGCAUUUACCGAGGAGUAUGUCUAAUCCACAAGAAUAUUUAUGAAAUAAACAGAGACAUCCCAACC